UCCCAAAUGGCUCAGUGGUAGAGAAUCUACCUGUAAUGCAGGAGAGUCGGGUUUGAUUCCUGGGUCGGGAA
rnacentral:tRNA from 1 species